rnacentral:tRNA from 1 species
GCCUGGGUGGCUCAGUCGGUUGAGCGUCUGACUUCAGCUCAGGUCAUGAUCUCACAGCUCGUGAGUUCGAGCCCCGCGUCGGGCC